rnacentral:rRNA from 1 species
UACGAAGGGGGCUAGCGUUGUUCGGAAUUACUGGGCGUAAAGCGUGCGCAGGCGGCUUCUCAAGUCAGGGGUGAAAGCCCAGAGCUCAACUCUGGAAUUGCCUUUGAGACUGAGUGGCUUGAGUACGAGAGAGGUGAGUGGAAUUCCGAGUGUAGAGGUGAAAUUCGUAGAUAUUCGCAAGAACACCAGUGGCGAAGGCGGCUCACUGGCCCGAUACUGACGCUGAGGCACGAAAGCGUGGGGAGCAAACAGG